UCCACAGGGCAGCUGUCCGCAGUCCGUGUAUUGUACGGGGAUACAGCAUUCCAUAUAGACAUGUCUAUUUGUUAUGGUAAGGCAGAAAAUCGUUUGAAAUUUAAUAUUGGAUAUGGGCAUGAAGUCCGCAGAUACCAGUCCGCAGUUUAUCCUGCCCGGUGCGCACUUUCAAUCGCUCCAUUGCGCAGGUGAAAGUCAGCAGUUUCUCCUUUCCGCAGUCCGCGGUCCACGUCCGCAUUUUAUCCUGGCCCCUUUUCCUCGUUGGACAAGUUGCAAGAAUGCGUAUGACCGAACAGCGCCACAAUUAUACAGCGUCAUUCUCACGAACUACUGAAACAAAAGAAUGUCGCAUUUCGGCGCCAAACUUGAACCGUCAUGUUCUUAUCAGAACUUAAAAACACAGCAUAAAAAAGUAUUUACUCUUAACAGUUGCAUCUUAGUACAUGGCAACAGACAGCAUUGUUGUGCAAAUUUAUUUUGCGUUGGGUCUUUCAAUGAUAUUUUAUUUCUAAAAUAUCGAUUCGGCAUUCAGCCUUUGCCUAUCACAAUUUAAAAAUUUAAAGUAUGAUGUUUACCGCGGUAUUUGGAAUUAGGUUACUUUGUAUCAUAAAAUUCUUUUGACCGACUUGUUGUUACUAUUCAGUAUGACACGUACUUGUUUUUAUUUUAAAGAAUUACUGCGCGAGUAAUCUAGAUGUACUACGCUGAAUGUAUGGUACUAUGGUUCGAAUCCUGAAAAAUACAAAAUAACUUUUCAGCGUAA